rnacentral:rRNA from 1 species
UACGUAGGGUGCGAGCGUUAAUCGGAAUUACUGGGCGUAAAGCGUGCGCAGGCGGCGCGUUAAGACAGAUGUGAAAGCCCCGAGCUUAACUUGGGAAUUGCGCUUGUGACUGGCGAGCUGGAGUGUGGCAGAGGGAGGUGGAAUUCCACGUGUAGCGGUGAAAUGCGUAGAGAUUUGGAGGAACACCGAUGGCGAAGGCAGCCUCCUGGGCCAGCACUGACGCUCAGGCACGAAAGCGUGGGGAGCAAACAGG